rnacentral:rRNA from 1 species
UACGAAGGGGGCUAGCGUUGUUCGGAAUUACUGGGCGUAAAGCGCGCGCAGGCGGUCUUCCAAGUCAGUGGUGAAAGCCCGGAGCUCAACUCCGGAACUGCCAUUGAAACUGUAAGACUUGAGGAUGAGAGAGGUGAGUGGAAUUCCCAGUGUAGAGGUGAAAUUCGUAGAUAUUGGGAAGAACACCGGUGGCGAAGGCGGCUCACUGGCUCAUAUCUGACGCUCAGGCGCGACAGCGUGGGGGAUCAAACAGG